ACCUAUGUAGCUCCCAAAUGGCACCGUUUCACUUGUUUAAUUUGAGCCUUCGAUUUCCCUUGACCUAACGGACAAGAACUAAGCCCCAUUUUCAUAUAACGUUGUCCGAUUUCCCCCCUUCCCCCUUCAGUUCGUCUCACUUCAUAUCCCUCACCAUUAGAGACAAGCUAACCCUAAUCCACCGCCCCAAAAUCCCUACCAUCUUCGAUGGCAGUGCCACCCCCAAACUUGCCCCAAUUAACACCAUAGAACAGUCACAACCUCCGCUCUCCCAAUCUUGAUGUGUUUUCCCUCGAAUCCCCCUAUGUUUAUACGAAUCUUACAUCAAAGUCGAACCCUAAAUAUUCCAAAACCCCCCAAUACGAGAUUUCAGUAAGAAUUUAGGUCUGAUUUGGUUUUAUUCGUGUAUUCUUGAUAAGAAAACACGUUUAAGGUCAAACUCGACUUAAAUUUGAAGAUUAAAGACUCAGUUUUAAUUCUUUACUUGUUCGAGCCGUUUAGGUAUUUUUCCUUUCCCUUUGUUAUCUUUUUUUAUUUUUUCUUUCAUUUCUUUAUCUUCUGCUUCGUUCUCUUUUCCUCUCGAUUCUUUUUUUUUGUUUGUCGAAGUUGUUUAGAGUCAUUUUUUCAUGCAUGUGUAAUAUUAAGUCUAUUUUAAUUAAGCAUAUUUCUAUUUUUGUGUUAGAUUUUAUUCAAAUUUUAUUUGUUUCUAUUUUCUUUGAGCCCAAGACCUCAUAAGUCUUUAUGACUCUGUAGGUCAUUUAGGACGAUUAGUUUUGAUUGUUGAUUUUGAAUUGUAUUAUGAUAUUUGAAGCCUAAGAAAAGGAUUCAACUCAAAAUUUAUAGACCCAUAACAAUUUGACUUGGAUCAAUUUGACCCAUAUCUGUUUGGUUUCAGAAGUAAAAAGCAUCGGAUUAAGGGGUUAAUUUAUGAAUUUAAGCUAGGGAAUAUGUUUAUAACUGAUUCAGGAAGCUUCUAGGAAGGUGUUUUGAGGAGUAAACUAAAAAUGAUGAUUUAAAACUAAGGGUACGUGAGAAAAAAUGAAAAUCUGAAAAGGAUCAAUGUGAAAAAAUUGAUUUCAUUAUUGCUGCCCUAAGACUUACCUACAAAGGCACUCUUUCUUGAUUCACAAGUCAAAAUUUUUGAGAUAUGAUAAAAUACUGAAAAGUAAAAAUCGCUGGGUUUUUUCCAAGCUCAAAAACACUGAAAUUUUACUGAAAAUUUGGUUUCUAGAUUCUGGUUUUUUCUUCCUUUUGGCUCAUUAAAAUCUCUGAAAGAUCAAAAUCAAGUAGCUGAGUUUUUUGUUUGGUGUUGUUGGUUAAAAAUGGUUUGAGUUGUGGUUUUUAAAAGGCUGGGUUUGAAUUUGUUGUCGUUGUUACUGUUAUAUUGCUAAUUUUCUGUUAUUUUUGAUUCCUUCUUGUCUGAGGCUAAAUUUACGAUUCUAUAUUGUUGUAUUCAGGUACACGUUUCUGAAUUCUAUCUAAUGUGAGGCCUGAUUCGAAGUUGAAAUGUAGAUAUGGAGCUUUGAGCAUAGUGUCAACUUGUUUUUCUCAUAGUUUAGCUUUAUCUUGUUUCAAUUACUUUGUUCUGACUUAUAUGGUCCAUUGUAUUCUUUUGGAUGUUGAUGGUACUCUUCUGAGAGCUGAAUUUGGAUUGUAAUUAGUGAUAAACUCCAUUUUCUAUCGAAUAUUUCACAGCUAGAUGUUGGCUUUUGGCAGUUGUACUCUUAUUCUUGAAUUUGAUCUUGAACUAUAAGGAAAACUUGAUGAAUAACUUGUUUAGUUGAAUCACUAGUUAGACUCUACAUUCAAUCAUGUUAAAUCAUGUAAUAUGGAUUACAUUAGAUCUCUCCUGUUAUGUAAUUCAUUUAAACUAUUAUAACACAUUUGUUGUAUUUGGAUGAUGUUGUGUUCAUGUAAUUGGAUAGCUGAAUGUUUUCUUAACAUUAGUGGGUAUAAAAUCAUGUUUAGAGGGAGG
rnacentral:lncRNA from 1 species